rnacentral:rRNA from 1 species
GGAAAGGUGGGGAGUGACGUCAAGUCCUCAUGGCCCUUAUAGGUGGGGCUACACACGUCAUACAAUGGAUGGUACAAAGGGUCGCCAACCCGCGAGGGGGAGCCAAUCCCAUAAAGCCAUUCGUAGUCCGGAUCGCAGUCUGCAACUCGACUGCGUGAAGUCGGAAUCGCUAGUAAUCGUGGAUCAGAAUGUCACGGUGAAUACGUUCCCGGGUCUU